GAAAGGCGCGCGAUACAGGGUGACAGCCCCGUACACAAAAAUGCACAUACUGUGAGCUCGAUGAGUAGGGCGGGACACGUGGUAUCCUGUCUGAAUAUGGGGGGACCAUCCUCCAAGGCUAAAUACUCCUGACUGACCGAUAGUGAACCAGUACCGUGAGGGAAAGGCGAAAAGAACCCCGGCGAGGGGAGUGAAAAAGAACCUGAAACCGUGUACGUACAAGCAGUGGGAGCCUCUUAAUGGGGUGACUGCGUACCUUUUGUAUAAUGGGUCAGCGACUUAUAUUCUGUAGCAAGGUUAACCGAAUAGGGGAGCCGAAGGGAAACCGAGUCUUAACUGGGCGUUAAGUUGCAGGGUAUAGACCCGAAACCCGGUGAUCUAGCCAUGGGCAGGUUGAAGGUUGGGUAACACUAACUGGAGGACCGAACCGACUAAUGUUGAAAAAUUAGCGGAUGACUUGUGGCUGGGGGUGAAAGGCCAAUCAAACCGGGAGAUAGCUGGUUCUCCCCGAAAGCUAUUUAGGUAGCGCCUCGUGAAUUCAUCUCCGGGGGUAGAGCACUGUUUCGGCAAGGGGGUCAUCCCGACUUACCAACCCGAUGCAAACUGCGAAUACCGGAGAAUGUUAUCACGGGAGACACACGGCGGGUGCUAACGUCCGU
rnacentral:rRNA from 1 species